CCCUUAGAUGUCCGGGGCCGCACGCGCGCUACACUGAAGGAAUCAGCGUGGCUUUCUCCCUGACCCGAAAGGGUUGGGAAACCCGUUGAAUCUCCUUGGUGAUAGGGAUUGGGGCUUGAAAUUGUUCCCCAUGAACGAGGAAUUCCCAGUAAGCGCGAGUCAUAAGCUCGCGUUGAUUACGUCCCUGCCCUUUGUACACACCGCCCGUCGCUACUACCGAUUGAACGGUUUAGUGAGGGCCUCGGAUUGGUCUCGGCCCGCUCUUUACCGGGCGGCGCCGUUGGUCGAGAAGACGCUCGAACUUGAUCGUUUAGAGGAAGUAAAAGUCGUAACA
rnacentral:rRNA from 1 species